rnacentral:rRNA from 1 species
GACGAACGCUGGCGGCGUGCUUAACACAUGCAAGUCGAACGGAAAGGCCCUGCUUUUGUGGGGUACUCGAGUGGCGAACGGGUGAGUAACACGUGAGUAACCUGCCCUUGACUUUGGGAUAACUUCAGGAAACUGGGGCUAAUACCGGAUCGGAGCUCCUGCUGCAUGGUGGGGGUUGGAAAGUUUCGGCGGGUGGGGAUGGACGCGCGGCUUAUCAGCUUGUUGGUGGGGGAGUGGCUUACCAAGGCGUUGACGGGUAGCCGGCCUGAGAGGGUGACCGGCCACAUUGGGACUGAGAUACGGCCCAGACUCCUACGGGAGGCAGCAGUGGGGAAUAUUGCACAAUGGGCGGAAGCCUGAUGCAGCAACGCCGGGUGCGGGAUGACGGCCUUCGGGUUGUAAACCGCUUUCGCCUGUGACGAAGCGUGAGUGACGGUAAUGGGUAAAGAAGCACCGGCUAACUACGUG